rnacentral:rRNA from 1 species
UACGAAGGGGGCUAGCGUUGCUCGGAAUCACUGGGCGUAAAGCGCACGUAGGCGGCUUUUUAAGUCAGAGGUGAAAUCCUGGAGCUCAACUCCAGAACUGCCUUUGAUACUGGAGAGCUUGAGUCCGGGAGAGGUGAGUGGAACUGCAAGUGUAGAGGUGAAAUUCGUAGAUAUUCGCAAGAACACCAGUGGCGAAGGCGGCUCACUGGCCCGGUACGGACGCUGAGGUGCGAAAGCGUGGGGAGCAAACAGG